UACGAAGGGGGCUAGCGUUGCUCGGAAUCACUGGGCGUAAAGGGUGCGUAGGCGGGUCUUUAAGUCAGGGGUGAAAUCCUGGAGCUCAACUCCAGAACUGCCUUUGAUACUGAAGAUCUUGAGUUCGGGAGAGGUGAGUGGAACUGGCGAGUGUAGAGGUGAAAUUCGAUGAGAUAUUCGCAAGAACACCAGUGGCGAAGGCGGCUGACUGGUCCGGUUCUGACGCUGAGGCGCGAAAGCGUGGGGAGCAAACAGG
rnacentral:rRNA from 1 species